rnacentral:rRNA from 1 species
GCAAGUCGAGGGGCAGCGUGGAACUUCGGUUCUGACGGCGACCGGCGAACGGGUGAGUAACGCGUACAGAAUCUACCUUAUAGUGGGGCAUAGCCUCGGGAAACUGAGAUUAAUACCCCAUAGUAUUACUUUUAAUAUUUAUUAGUAAUUAAAGCUCCGGCGCUAUAAGAUGACUGUGCGUCUGAUUAGAUAGUUGGUAGGGUAACGGCCUACCAAGUCUACGAUCAGUAGGGGGCGUGAGAGCGUGGAC